rnacentral:rRNA from 1 species
UACGAAGGGGCUAGCGUUGCUCGGAAUCACUGGGCGUAAAGCGCACGUAGGCGGAUUGUUAAGUCAGGGUGAAAUCCUGGAGCUCAACUCCAGAACUGCCUUUGAUACUGAGGAUCUUGAGUUCGGGAGAGGUGAGUGGAACUGCGAGUGUAGAGGUGAAAUUCGUAGAUAUUCGCAAGAACACCAGUGGCGAAGGCGGCUCACUGGCCCGAUACUGACGCUGAGGCACGAAAGCGUGGGAGCAACAGG